rnacentral:misc_RNA from 1 species
CAGAUAGACAGUAGAUCAUCACUCGAAAGCAGAUGAAGAAGGAUCAUGGAUAGAAGCCACAAAUGGUUAUGUGAUUCAGCAGCUGACAUGCCACAAGUCAAUGGUCNNNNNNNNUACCAGCCUAUAUUGCUUAAUUGUUAUAUCCAUCAAAAUUGUUGUGCUUUGGUUUUGCUUCUCCUGCUGAUUGUUGAUGCAUGUUGUUGCCCGC